rnacentral:rRNA from 1 species
GGGGGGGGGGGGGGGGGGGGGGGGGGGGGGGGGGGGGGGGGGGCGGGCGGGGGGGUGGCGGCUCUGAUGUUAGCGGCGGGCGGGUGAGUAACACGUGGAUAACCUACCUAUAAGACUGGGAUAACUUCGGGAAACCGGAGCUAAUACCGGAUAAUAUUUUGAACCGCAUGGUUCAAAAGUGAAAGACGGUCUUGCUGUCACUUAUAGAUGGAUCCGCGCUGCAUUAGCUAGUUGGUAAGGUAACGGCUUACCAAGGCAACGAUGCAUAGCCGACCUGAGAGGGUGAUCGGCCACACUGGAACUGAGACACGGUCCAGACUCCUACGGGAGGCAGCAGUAGGGAAUCUUCCGCAAUGGGCGAAAGCCUGACGGAGCAACGCCGCGUGAGUGAUGAAGGUCUUCGGAUCGUAAAACUCUGUUAUUAGGGAAGAACAUAUGCGUAAGUAACUGUGCACAUCUUGACGGUACCUAAUCAGAAAGCCACGGCUAACUACGUG